rnacentral:rRNA from 1 species
GACGAACGCUGGCGGCGUGCCUAAUACAUGCAAGUUGAGCGAUGAAGCUUGGUGCUUGCCCCAAUUUGAAGAGCAGCGAACGGGUGAGUAACGCGUGGGGAAUCUGCCUUUGAGCGGGGGACAACAUUUGGAAACGAAUGCUAAUACCGCAUAACGACUUUAAACAUAAGUUUUAAGUUUGAAAGAUGCAAUUGCAUCACUCAAAGAUGAUCCCGCGUUGUAUUAGCUAGUUGGUGAGGUAAAGGCUCACCAAGGCGAUGAUACAUAGCCGACCUGAGAGGGUGAUCGGCCACAUUGGGACUGAGACACGGCCCAAACUCCUACGGGAGGCAGCAGUAGGGAAUCUUCGGCAAUGGACGAAAGUCUGACCGAGCAACGCCGCGGGAGUGAAGAAGGUUUUCGGAUCGUAAAACUCUGUUGGUAGAGAAGAACGUUGGUGAGAGUGGAAAGCUCAUCAAGUGACGGUAACUACCCAGAAAGGGACGGCUAACUACGUG